rnacentral:rRNA from 1 species
GUGGGGAAUCUUGCGCAAUGGGCGAAAGCCUGACGCAGCCAUGCCGCGUGGAUGAUGAAGGUCUUAGGAUUGUAAAAUCCUUUCACCGGUGAAGAUAAUGACUGUAGCCGGAGAAGAAGCCCCGGCUAACUUCGUGCCAGCAGCCGCGGUAAUACGAAGGGGGCUAGCGUUGCUCGGAUUUACUGGGCGUAAAGGGCGCGUAGGCGGACAUUUAAGUCAGGGGUGAAAUCCCGGGGCUCAACCUCGGAACUGCCUUUGAUACUGGCUGUCUUGAGUUUGGGAGAGGUGAGUGGAACUCCGAGUGUAGAGGUGAAAUUCGUAGAUAUUCGGAAGAACACCAGUGGCGAAGGCGACUCACUGGCCCAAUACUGACGCUGAGGCGCGAAAGCGUGGGGAGCAAACAGGAUUAGAUACCCUUGUAGUCC